rnacentral:rRNA from 1 species
UGAGGGAUAUUGCACAAUGGGCGAAAGCCUGAUGCAGCAACGCCGCGUGAGGGAAUACGGUCUUCGGAUUGUAAACCUCUGUCUUUAGUGAAGAAGACAGUGACGGUAGCUAAAGAGGAAGCCACGGCUAACUACGUGCCAGCAGCCGCGGUAAUACGUAGGUGGCGAGCGUUAUCCGGAAUUACUGGGUGUAAAGGGAGCGCAGGCGGGACUGCAAGUUGGAUGUGAAAUACCGCAGCUUAACUGCGGAGCUGCAUCCAAAACUGUAGUUCUUGAGUGGAGUAGAGGUAGGCGGAAUUCCGAGUGUAGCGGUGAAAUGCGUAGAUAUUCGGAGGAACACCGGUGGCGAAGGCGGCCUACUGGGCUUUUACUGACGCUGAGGCUCGAAAGUGUGGGGAGCAAACAGGAUUAGAUACCCUGGUA